UACGUAGGGGGCAAGCGUUAUCCGGAUUUACUGGGUGUAAAGGGUGCGUAGCCGGAAUGGUAAGUCAGAUGUGAAAGCCCGAAGCUCAACUUCGGGACUGCAUUUGAAACUGCCAUUCUAGAGUGCAGGAGAGGAAAGUGGAAUUCCUAGUGUAGCGGUGAAAUGCGUAGAGAUUAGGAGGAACACCAGUGGCGAAGGCGGCUUUCUGGACUGUAACUGACGGUGAGGCACGAAAGCGUGGGGAGCAAACAGG
rnacentral:rRNA from 1 species